rnacentral:rRNA from 1 species
UACGUAGGGUGCGAGCGUUAAUCGGAAUUACUGGGCGUAAAGUGUGCGCAGGCGGCCGCGCAAGUCGAGUGUGAAAGCCCCGGGCUUAACUUGGGAAUUGCGCUCGAAACUACGUGGCUGGAGUGUGGCAGAGGAAGGUGGAAUUCCAGGCGUAGCGGUGAAAUGCGUAGAGAUCUGGAGGAACACCGAUGGCGAAGGCAGCCUUCUGGGCCAACACUGACGCUCAUGCACGAAAGCGUGGGGAGCAAACAGG